CCGGGAAGUCCUCGUGUUGC
rnacentral:siRNA from 1 species